rnacentral:rRNA from 1 species
AACGCUGGCGGCGGCGGCCGCUAACACAUGCAAGUCGGACGAGAAAGUGGAAGCAAUCCAUGAGUACAAGUGGCGUACGGGUGAGUAACACGUGGGUAAUCUACUCUUAGUGGGGAAUAAACUCUGGGGAAACCGGAGCUAAUACCCGCCCAUAAGCUCGAGAAGAGGAAAGCAGCAAUGCGCUGGAGAGAGGAGCCCGCGGCCGAUUAGUUAGUUGGCAGGGUAAAAGCCUACCAAGACAAAGAUCGGUAGCCGGGCCUGAGUAGGGCACACGGCCACACUGGCACUGAAACACGGGCCAGACUCCUACGGGGAGGCAGCAGUGGGGAAAUCUUGCCACAAUGGGGGAAAACCCUGAUGCAGCGACCGGCCGCGUGAGCGAUGAAGCCCUUCGGGGUGGUAAAGCUCUUUCGGCAGGGAAGAUGAUGACGGUACCUGCAGAAGCAGCUGCGGCUAACCUACGUGCCAGCAGCCGCGGUAAUACGUAGGCAGCGAGAGCGUUGUUCGGAGUUACUGGGCGUAAAGGGUGUGUAGGCGGUUGUUUUAAGUUUGGUGUGAAAUCUCCCGGCUCACUGGGAGGGUGCGCCGAAUACUGAGCAGACUCGAGUGCGGGAGAGGAAAGUGGAAAUUCCUGGUGUAGCGGUGAAAUGGCGUAGAUAUCAGGAGGAACACCGGUGGUUGUGUAGGACGGCUUUUCUGGAACCGUAACUGACGCUGAGACACGAAAGCGUGGGUAGCAAACAGGAUUAGAAUACCCUGGUAGUCCACGCCCUAAACGAUGCAUAUUUGGUGUGGGCAGUUCAUUCUGUCCGUGCCGGAGCUAACGCGUUAAAUAUGCCGCCUGGGGAGUACAGUCGCAAGGCUGAAACUCAAAGGAAUUUGACGGGGGCCCGCACAAGCGGUGGAGCAUGUGGUUUCAAUUCGAACGCAACGCGAAGAAACCUACCUAGGCUUGGACAUGCAUCUCUAAGUCGGUGAGAAGCCGGCGAAUCCGCAAGGGAUUAAAUUUGCACAGGUGCUGCAUGGCUUGUCGUCAGCUUCGUGUCGUGAGAUGUUGGGUUAGUCCCGCAACGAGCGCAAACCCCUGUGAUCUGUUGCCACCCGGUUUAGGCCGGAGCACCUCUGAUCAGACUGCCCUGUGAAAACGGGGAGGAAGGUGGGGAUGGACGUCAAGUCAGCCAUGGCCCUUACGCCCUAGGGCUGCACACGUACUACAAUGCCCAGCAUACAAAUGAGAGGCCGAAACCGCGAGGGUGGAGGGAAUCGAUAAAAAACUGGGCUCAAUUCGGAUCGCAGGCUGCAACUCGCCUGCCGUGAAGGCCGGAAUCGCUAGUAAAUGGCGUAUCAGCUACGACGCCGUGAAUACGUUCCCGGGCCUUGUACACACCGCCCGUCACAUCAUGGGAGUCGCUUGUACCCGAAGUGCACUACGAGCCAACCGCAAGGAGGCAGUGCCCUAAGGUAUGGGCGGUAACUGGGAUG